CAGCUCCCCGAGUGGUAAGGGACGAUUAUUGGGGCUUAAAGCGUUCGUAGCCGGGCUUAACAAGUCUUCCGUUAAAUCCAACGAUCUAAUCGUUGGGCCCGCGGGAGAUACUGCUGGGCUAGGAGGCGGGAGAAGCCGACGGUAUUCCCGGGGUAGGGGUGAAAUCCUAUAAUCCCGGGAGGACCACCAGUGGCGAAGGCGGUCGGCUAGAACGCGCUCGACGGUGAGGGACGAAAGCUGGGGGAGCGAACCGGAUUAGAUACCCGGGUAGCCCCAGCUGUAAACGAUGCGGGCUAGGUGUUGGGGCGGCUACGGGCCGCUUCAGUGCCGCAGGGAAACCAUUAAGUCCGCCGCCUGGGGAGUACGGCCGCAAGGCUG
rnacentral:rRNA from 1 species